UCUUCUAUAAGUGCAAAACCCUUAUUCCGAAACUCAGAAACUCUCUCUCUCUCGCUCUCCCCUUUCCUGCAUAAAUUACAAAACCCUAAUUCCGAAGCCUCACAAACUCCAUAACCCAAUCUCUCUGUUGAACCGAUUCUACUCUUCUUCCCGAGCGGCGCCAUGGCUGAAGGCGCAUCCCCUCCCGCCGUCGACAACCUUGACGGAAAACUUGAUAAGGUUUCGAUCAGGCGUGGCGGAAAGGAAGAUCCCCUGCUUCGAUUAAUGGCGGGUAUCGAUCCAACUCUUCGUCGGCGAGGUCGACCGGGAGCUCGCCGGCUUCCGAUUGGGGCCGGACGCCUGGGCAGCACAACCGGCAAUUCAACAAUUCGAGUUCGAGGUCGCUGGAGGAAGGAGAUGAUUUGGCGGGCGCGGCGGAGAAGGCUAGGGCCAGUGGAGGGACUCCGUUGUCGAGGGAUCAGAGGGAGGCGAUAAGGUUCUCGAUGGUAGGGAGGAAGAAGGGACUUCAAGCACAUGGAGAGGGUCGAUGGCCGGUGGAUCAAUGUGCUCGAGGGGCUCGAGCUUUCAUACUGGAGUUUUUAGUGCAGCGGAGCAGAAGAGGAUUGUGGCUUGCGUCUACGAUGUCCAGGAGAAGGGGAGGAAUCGGCAACUCAGAAGACGCACAUAUUCGGAACCACGAAAAUGGAUGCGUGGGAAGGGGCGUGUAACGAUACAAUUUGGAUGCUGCUACAACUAUGCAGUGGACAAUUAUGGAAUCCUCCAGGCAUAAUACAGGAUGAGGAAGUAGAUCCUAUGCCGCCCUUAUUAAAAACAAUGAUCAAGAGAAUGGUUGCAUGGCAUGUCCUUCCUCCCACUUGUGUCCCUGAUAGUUGCAUCAUCAACAUAUAUGAUAAAGAUGACUGCAUUCCUCCUCACAUAGAUCAUCAUGACUUCCUCCGGCCUUUUUGCACUGUCUCCUUGCUAUCGA